rnacentral:rRNA from 1 species
GGGAUUAGUGGCGAACGGGUGAGUAACACGUGAGUAACCUGCCCUUGACUCUGGGAUAAGCCUGGGAAACUGGGUCUAAUACCGGAUAUGACCAUCUGACGCAUGUCAUGGUGGUGGAAAGCUUUUGUGGUUUUGGAUGGACUCGCGGCCUAUCAGCUUGUUGGUGGGGUAAUGGCCUACCAAGGCGACGACGGGUAGCCGGCCUGAGAGGGUGACCGGCCACACUGGGACUGAGACACGGCCCAGACUCCUACGGGAGGCAGCAGUGGGGAAUAUUGCACAAUGGGCGGAAGCCUGAUGCAGCGACGCCGCGUGAGGGAUGACGGCCUUCGGGUUGUAAACCUCUUUCAGUAGGGAAGAAGCGAAAGUGACGGUACCUGCAGAAGAAGCGCCGGCUAACUACGUGCCAGCAGCCGCGGUAAUACGUAGGGCGCAAGCGUUAUCCGGAAUUAUUGGGCGUAAAGAGCUCGUAGGCGGUUUGUCGCGUCUGCUGUGAAAGACCGGGGCUCAACUCCGGUUCUGCAGUGGGUACGGGCAGACUAGAGUGCAGUAGGGGAGACUGGAAUUCCUGGUGUAGCGGUGAAAUGCGCAGAUAUCAGGAGGAACACCGAUGGCGAAGGCAGGUCUCUGGGCUGUAACUGACGCUGAGGAGCGAAAGCAUGGGGAGCGAACAGGAUUAGAUACCCUGGUAGUCCAUGCCGUAAACGUUGGGCACUAGGUGUGGGGGACAUUCCACGUUUUCCGCGCCGUAGCUAACGCAUUAAGUGCCCCGCCUGGGGAGUACGGCCGCAAGGCUAAAACUCAAAGGAAUUGACGGGGGCCCGCACAAGCGGCGGAGCAUGCGGAUUAAUUCGAUGCAACGCGAAGAACCUUACCAAGGCUUGACAUGAACCGGAAAGACCUGGAAACAGGUGCCCCGCUUGCGGUCGGUUUACAGGUGGUGCAUGGUUGUCGUCAGCUCGUGUCGUGAGAUGUUGGGUUAAGUCCCGCAACGAGCGCAACCCUCGUUCUAUGUUGCCAGCGCGUUAUGGCGGGGACUCAUAGGAGACUGCCGGGGUCAACUCGGAGGAAGGUGGGGACGACGUCAAAUCAUCAUGCCCCUUAUGUCUUGGGCUUCACGCAUGCUACAAUGGCCGGUACAAAGGGUUGCGAUACUGUGAGGUGGAGCUAAUCCCAAAAAGCCGGUCUCAGUUCGGAUUGGGGUCUGCAACUCGACCCCAUGAAGUCGGAGUCGCUAGUAAUCGCAGAUCAGCAACGCUGCGGUGAAUACGUUCCCGGGCCUUGUACACACCGCCCGUCAAGUCACGAAAGUUGGUAACACCCGAAGCCGG